UACGUAGGGACCGAGCGUUGUCCGGAAUCAUUGGGCGUAAAGAGCGUGUAGGCUGCCAGAUAAGUCCGCUGUGAAAUCUCGAGGCUCAACUUCGAGCUGUCGGUGGAAACUGUCGGGCUAGAGUCCGGAAGAGGCGAGUGGAAUUCCCGGUGUAGCGGUGAAAUGCGCAGAUAUCAGGAGGAACACCGGUGGCGAAGGCGCCUAUCUGGCCCGAUACUGACGCUGAGGUGCGAAAGCUAGGGGAGCAAACGGG
rnacentral:rRNA from 1 species